UACGUAGGGUGCAAGCGUUGUCCGGAAUUAUUGGGCGUAAAGAGCUCGUAGGCGGUUUGUCGCGUCUGCUGUGAAAACCCGAGGCUCAACCUCGGGCCUGCAGUGGGUACGGGCAGACUAGAGUGCGGUAGGGGAUAUUGGAAUUCCUGGUGUAGCGGUGGAAUGCGCAGAUAUCAGGAGGAACACCAAUGGCGAAGGCAGAUCUCUGGGCCGUAACUGACGCUGAGGAGCGAAAGCAUGGGGAGCGAACAGG
rnacentral:rRNA from 1 species